CAAAUACUAGUCCAUUGCAUUGCAUUACAUAAUAGCAGAGCUAAUGCUCUGGUAUUAUGCAAUGCAAUGCAAUGGGCUAGUAUUUG